AGCGAACGCUGGCGGCAGGCCUAACACAUGCGAGUCGAACGAACCUUUCGGGGUUAGUGGCGGACGGGUGAGUAACACGUGGGGACGUGCCUUUAGGUUCGGAAUAACUCAGGGAAACUUGUGCUAAUACCGAAUGUGCCCUUCGGGGGAAAGAUUUAUCGCCUUUAGAGCGGCCCGCGUCUGAUUAGCUAGUUGGUUGAGGUAAUGGCUCACCAAGGCGACGAUCAGUAGCUGGUCUGAGAGGAUGAUCAGCCACAUUGGGACUGAGACACGGCCCAAACUCCUACGGGAGGCAGCAGUGGGGAAUCUUGCGCAAUGGGCGAAAGCCUGACGCAGCCAUGCCGCGUGAAUGAUGAAGGUCUUAGGAUUGUAAAAUUCUUUCACCGGGGACGAUAAUGACGGUACCCGGAGAAGAAGCCCCGGCUAACUUCGUG
rnacentral:rRNA from 1 species